AGUGAACGCUGGCGGUAGGCCUAACACAUGCAAGUCGAACGGCAGCACAGGAGAGCUUGCUCUCUAGGUGGCGAGUGGCGGACGGGUGAGGAAUACAUCGGAAUCUGCCCAGUCGUGGGGGAUAACGUAGGGAAACUUACGCUAAUACCGCAUACGACCUUCGGGUGAAAGAGGGGGAUCGCAAGACCUCUCGCGAUUGGAUGAGCCGAUGUCGGAUUAGCUAGUUAGCGGGGUAAUGGCCCACCAAGGCGACGAUCCGUAGCUGGUCUGAGAGGAUGAUCAGCCACACUGGAACUGAGCCACGGUCCGGACUCCGACGGGAGGCAGCGGGGGGGAAUGUUGGACAAGGGCCGCAAGCUUGAUCCAGCCAUCCCGGGUGGGUGAAGAAGGCCUCCGGGUUGUAAGGCCCUUUUGUGGGGAAAGAAUUUUUUCAGCCUAAUCCCCUGGGGGAAUGACGGUACCAAAAAAAAAAGCCCCGCCUAACUUCGUG
rnacentral:rRNA from 1 species